rnacentral:rRNA from 1 species
ACUACGGGAGGCAGCAGUGAGGAAUAUUGGUCAAUGGACGAGAGUCUGAACCAGCCAAGUAGCGUGAAGGAUGACUGCCCAAUGGGUUGUAAACUUCUUUUAUAUGGGAAUAAAAUGUUCCACGUGUGGGAUUUUGUAUGUACCAUAUGAAUAAGGAUCGGCUAACUCCGUGCCAGCAGCCGCGGUAAUACGGAGGAGCCGAGCGUUAUCCGGAUUUAUUGGGUUUAAAGGGAGCGUAGGUGGUUUGUUAAGUCAGUGGUGAAAGUUUGCGGCUCAACCGUAAAAUUGCCGUUUAAACUGGCAGUCUUUAGUACAGUAGAGGUGGGCGGAAUUUGUGUUGUAGCGGUGUCAUGCUUCGAUAUCCC